UGGGGAUGACGUCAAGUCCUCAUCGGCCCUUAUAGUGGGGCUACACACGUCAUACAAUGGAUGGUACAAAGGGUCGCCAACCCGCGAGGGGGAGCCAAUCCCAUAAAGCCAUUCGUAGUCCGGAUCGCAGUCUGCAACUCGACUGCGUGAAGUCGGAAUCGCUAGUAAUCGUGGAUCAGAAUGUCACGGUGAAUACGUUCCCGGGUCCUU
rnacentral:rRNA from 1 species